UGGGGUCUUGCCAAUGCGCAUGCGCGAGGCAGGAGCGGGUCCUCGGGUUGUUGCCCAGGUGAUCCGUUCCUGAGACGUCACAAAAAAGGAGCCACCUGUGGCCGUGUCAGGAACCCGGCUCAGGCAACCCCUCGCUGGAUAUUUGCUGAAGGUUAGCCAGGAGGAAGAAAGUUCGGGUGGAGGGAGCGUCGGGGAAAUAGCUUGGAAUCCCAGUCUCAGGCCUGCGCCAAGAGGGUACAGAGAACACUCCCCUGUCCAGCCGGGAGAAACUUCGUGGGAAUGCGUUUCAUGCCCGUUUACUCUUCUAAACCUGUUUCUGGAUGAUUGGGCAGGUGCGAUCAACGAUGGGCUCCGAGGCGGAGUCCAGGGAGCCAUUGGGCGCCCUGAAUCUCCUCUUCCGCAAGGAACCGAAGCGGAAGACCGCUGGCUCAUGGAGGCCCUGAGGACACGAGUAAUAUGGGUUUGACCCUGGCUUGGUCUCGUGCAGGCCACUUUCCCAGGACUCCUAAAACCCGCCGCUUCCGCGGCCUUCUCCGCUGCCACCUCCGCCGCGGUCAUUUCUUAAAGGGGCGGACGCCUGACUUCCGGGAGCCAGGCACGAGUGGCGUCGUCCUCGCUAGUGCGCAUGCGCGAGGCGCGCAGUGCUCCUUGGGUCAUGCUGACGUUUCCGGUUGCUCCGUGAUGGGUUCCUGGGACGUCACAAAGGACGACGCCCCUGAGGCAGUGUGUCAGGAACAGGGCUCAGGCCCUUCCCCGCCAGGACGUCCGCACAAAAGGUGGGCCAGGAGGAAGAAACCUCAGGUGAAGGGAGUGCCGGGGAAGCAGCGGGAUCCCAGCCUCAGGCCUGCGCCGAAGGGUUCCAGGUUCACACGAUUCUCCUGCCUCAGCCUCCCAAGUAGCUGGGACUACAGGCGUGCACCACCACACCCAGCUAAUUUUUGUAUUUUUGGAGAGACAGGGUUUCACCAUUUUGGCUAG
rnacentral:lncRNA from 1 species